AAAACAUAUGUAGGGAUAGUUGCAUUAUAUAAACAAUGGGAAAGUGCUAGAAAACUUUAUUAUCAAUAUAUGUUUCUUAUUCUAUAAAUAAAAUGAAAUUCAAGGCAAUCGAUCAGCUGAUAGUUUGCAGCAAAUUCUAAAGCAUAUUAAUUAAAUUUGUUAGAUCAUAUUAAAAAAAACAAAAAUACUACUACAACCUCAUAUCCAUAGCAUCAUGCAACCCCAACCUUACAGGAGAAAGUAUCCACAAUUAUACAAAUUUUUUAAGAAUCUAAAGAGAAUAUUUUUUAUACCAGAAAAUUAACCCAUGGGCCAUUCAAAUCUUUCAAAUAUAGAAAAAGCAGUUUGUAUCAAGAUUAUCAAAAAAUUGAAAAACAGUAAUUUCCAUUGCCAAAAUAU